rnacentral:rRNA from 1 species
CCUACGGGAGGCAGCAGUGAGGAAUAUUGGUCAAUGGACGAGAGUCUGAACCAGCCAAGUAGCGUGAAGGAUGACUGCCCUAUGGGUUGUAAACUUCUUUUAUAUGGGAAUAAAACAGGGUAUGCAUACCCUCUUGUAUGUACCAUAUGAAUAAGGAUCGGCUAACUCCGUGCCAGCAGCCGCGGUAAUACGGAGGAUCCGAGCGUUAUCCGGAUUUAUUGGGUUUAAAGGGAGCGUAGGUGGAUUGUUAAGUCAGUUGUGAAAGUUUGCGGCUCAACCGUAAAAUUGCAGUUGAAACUGGCAGUCGUGAGUACAGUAGAGGUGGGCGGAAUUCGUGGUGUAUCGGUGAAAUGCUUAGAUAUCACGAAGAACUCCGAUUGCGAAGGCAGCUCACUGGACUGCAACUGACACUGAUGCUCGAAAGUGUGGGUAUCAAACAGGAUUAGAUACCCGAGUAGUC